AAUGAUUGCUCGAAACGAAACAGCACCAAACUGUCAACAAAAUGGUUUUCGUCUCCCUGGCUAUAUCAUGCCGUUCUGAAGAAUAGUAGUCAGCUGGUUUUUCUGAGUUUUUGUGACGUUAUUUGAUUUGUCAGCUUGUGUAUUUGAUGUAUUGUUGAGCGUCGACUUCCAAAACCAGUGUUAAUGUAAGGAAUGAUAUUUUGCGCUUUAAGUAUUUGUCUUAUCCUAUUGAGUAUAUAUGUUUUA